rnacentral:rRNA from 1 species
UAAGGAAUAUUGGACAAUGGUCGCAAGACUGAUCCAGCCAUGCCGCGUGCAGGAAGACGGCCCUAUGGGUUGUAAACUGCUUCUGUACCAGAGAAAACCUAUCUACGUGUAGAUAGCUGAUAGUAUGGUAAGAAUAAGCAUCGGCUAACUUCGUGCCAGCAGCCGCGGUAAGACGAAGGAUGCAAGCGUUAUCCGGAUUCAUUGGGUUUAAAGGGUGCGAGGCGGGCUUGUAAGUCAGUGGUGAAAUCUCUCAGCUUAACUGAGAAACCGCCAUUGAUACUGCAGGCCUAGAGUAUAGAUGACGUUGGCGGAAUAUGACAUGUAGUGGUGAAAUACUUAGAUAUGUCAUAGAACACCGAUUGCGAAGGCAGCUAACGAAACUAUAACUGACGCUGAGGCACGAAAGUGCGGGGAUCAAACA